AUCUUUAAAAUGAUGAUUCCACACCAUUGCAUAGUUCAUCUGAAUACAGUUGAUGACACACUGCCAUCAGUCUUUUGCUCCUAUCUGAUUGACACU
rnacentral:snoRNA from 1 species